rnacentral:lncRNA from 1 species
CAAUACAGAAUCCGCACUCCUCCUGCUUUUCAUACCACUUUCAUCUGCCAAAAGUUCUACAUUCUUUACUCCAGAACUGGAAAGUACAAUAUUAUCAUUCAUUUCUUUCCGAAUGGACAUGUACAUAUCUUGUUCCAACGUCUCAAAGGUAUAUGCAGUUCUAUCAUUCCCAUUCUUCAACUAUGUUUUUUGUGACACAAUAGCACAUCAACAAUGCCAAAUCUUCAAAAGAAGUGGUAGUACCUGAUCUGGGUCAACAAUGUGUCCUCCUUCAAAAACAAUUCUCCUUACAUGUCUGUGUAAGCAGCAUAAGAACAUAUUUUAAACCUUUUAAUACACAAAAACCAAGCUCAUUCUAAAGGUUUCAAGAUCACAUUGUAUUGCAACUUGUUGAAGAAUGGAAAAAAGGGAGGUAAAGAAAAAUAGAGAGACAAAAAUGACAAUAUAGAGGCAUUCCUUUGAAACUUCAUGAACAACAUAAACUGGAUUCAAGACCUCAGAAACCUCAACAAAGGGCAAUGCAAUUCAGAAAUGCUUUGAGACAAUGGACUUGACAUCUGUUAAACAGGCGAUUUAACCAGGUAUUAGACCCACGUGUUUUAACUUGUUUUGGGUUGGACCAAAAGCAGACAAACAAAGGAGUCAGGCCUGACUUCUUUAAGUUCAGGAAGCAGAAGCAAGUUCCACCAAAGCAAUUGGGACAUUGUAAUCUCACUGCUUGAACAGUACAAGAUAAAUCCUUAAACUGCUUGUUCUUUUUGUUUUAUAUUCUCAAUAUCUAAGAAACACAUAUUUAUUUUAAUCCCCAGAUAUCCAGAUUAAAUCUUCGAAGACCAUUUGGCUUAUUAGGUCCGAUGACCAUAUCAGCUUUAAAGCAGAGUAAAACUAAAAGGAAAACAAGAUUUGAUGGUGAAACUAUAUAAAUUUUCUUGCCAACGCCACUUACCUUUCCUUCAAUGAUGAUAAAUAUCGAUCCAGGCAAUCUUGAUGAACAGCAUGACCACAGGAGGACAGGUAAACACCAUCACAGUCAACUGGGCCAAAUCCAUCAUAUGCAAAAACCUGGGAAGUAGAUUCUGCCAUUGCAAUGUCAUCAAGAGCAUUUCCAGAAGAUGAAGGAUGCUCAAUUAUCUCUUUUGAAAAGGCAGCAAUGUAUUUUCCAAGCAAUACAGAAUCCGCACUCCUCCUGCUUUUCAUACCACUUUCAUCUGCCAAAAGUUCUACAUUCUUUACUCCAGAACUGGAAAGUACAAUAUUAUCAUUCAUUUCUUUCCGAAUGGACAUGUACAUAUCUUGUUCCAACGUCUCAAAGGUAUAUGCAGUUCUAUCAUUCCCAUUCUUCAACAAACUAGGCACUUGAGUGUUCCUCAAUGAUGUAAACUGGCCUUUGAUAAAUUCUAGAAAAUUGCUUAUUUCCCCAGGUUGAGCAUAACCAGCUAAUUCAUCGACUGCAUUUUGGAC